rnacentral:misc_RNA from 1 species
GAUGAAGAACGCAGCAAAAUGCGAUAAGUAAUGUGAAUUGCAGAAUUCAGUGAAUCAUCGAAUCUUUGAACGCACAUUGCGCCCGCUGGUAUUCCGGCGGGCAUGCCUGUUCGAGCGUCAUUUCAACCCUCAAGCCCCCGGGUUUGGUGUUGGGGAUCGGCUCUGCCCUUCUGGGCGGUGCCGCCCCCGAAAUACAUUCGCGGUCUCGCUGCAGCCUCCAUUGCGUAGUAGCUAACACCUCGCAACUGGAACGCGGCGCGGCCAUGCCGUAAAACCCCAACUUCUGAAUGUUGACCUCGGAUCAGGUAGGAAUACCCGCUGAACUUAAGCAUAUCAAUAAGCGGAGGA